GACGAACGCUGGCGGCGUGCUUAACACAUGCAAGUCGAACGGAAAGGCCCUGCUUGCAGGGUACUCGAGUGGCGAACGGGUGAGUAACACGUGGGUGAUCGGCCCUGCACUUCGGGAUAAGCCUGGGAAACUGGGUCUAAUACCGGAUAGGAGCCAUUUUUAGUGUGAUGGUUGGAAAGUUUUUUCGGUGUAGGAUGAGCUCGCGGCCUAUCAGCUUGUUGGUGGGGUAAUGGCCUACCAAGGCGGCGACGGGUAGCCGGCCUGAGAGGGUGGACGGCCACAUUGGGACUGAGAUACGGCCCAGACUCCUACGGGAGGCAGCAGUGGGGAAUAUUGCACAAUGGGCGCAAGCCUGAUGCAGCGACGCCGCGUGGGGGAUGACGGCCUUCGGGUUGUAAACUCCUUUCGCUAGGGACGAAGCUUUUUGUGACGGUACCUAGAUAAGAAGCACCGGCUAACUACGUG
rnacentral:rRNA from 1 species